UUGGCGGCGUGCCUAAUGCAUGCAAGCUACGAACGAGGGACCCCUCUCGGGUAACACGAGGUGGGUCACCUAGUGGCGAACGGGUGAGUAUCACGUGAGGAACCUGCCCCGGAGACCGGAAUAGCCCAGGGAAACUUGGAUUAAUGCCGGAUGUCCUCGGAUGGUCGCAUGGCCGGCCGAGGAAAUGGUCCGCUGCUCCGGGAUGGCCUCGCGGCCUAUCAGCUUGUUGGUGAGGUAACGGCUCACCAAGGCUCCGACGGGUAGCUGGUCUGAGAGGACGAUCAGCCACACUGGGACUGAGACACGGCCCAGACUCCUACGGGAGGCAGCAGCAGGGAAUUUUGCACAAUGAGCGAAAGCUUGAUGCAGCGACGCCGCGUGCGGGAUGAAUGCCUUCGGGUUGUAAACCGCUUUCAGGAGGGACGAAGCGAAAGUGACGGUACCUCCAGAAGAAGCCCCGGCCAACUACGUGCCAGCAGCCGCGGUAAUACGUAGGGGGCGAACGUUGUCCGGAUUUAUUGGGCGUAAAGAGCUC
rnacentral:rRNA from 1 species